UGGGGUAUAGCUUAGUGGUAAAGCACUUGCCUAGCACGUGCAAGGCCCUGAGCUAGAAUCCCUGUACCACAC
rnacentral:tRNA from 1 species